rnacentral:rRNA from 1 species
UACGUAGGUGGCGAGCGUUAUCCGGAAUUACUGGGUGUAAAGGGAGCGCAGGCGGGGCGGCAAGUCAGCUGUGUAAACUAUGGGCUUAACCCAUAGAUUGCAGUUGAAACUGUCGUUCUUGAGUGGAGUAGAGGCAAGCGGAAUUCCGAGUGUAGCGGUGAAAUGCGUAGAUAUUCGGAGGAACACCAGUGGCGAAGGCGGCUUGCUGGGCUCUAACUGACGCUGAGGCUCGAAAGUGUGGGGAGCAAACAGGAUUAGAUACCCUGGUAGUCCACACUGUAAACGAUGAUUGCUAGGUGUGGGGGGUCUGACCCCUUCCGUGCCGGAGUUAACGCAAUAAGCAAUCCACCUGGGGAGUACGACCGCAAGGUUGAA